GAUCCGGGGACCCGCCCCCAGAAUUGUGGCCUCGUCCUCUGAUUGGUUGGAGAACAAGCACAUCCGGGGCCUUCUUCCUGUUCCGCCUCUUGCUUGUUAUUGGUCGUUAGAUGUUUUGGUCAGCUAUGGAGCAUGCGUAUUGGGAGGGAUAUCCGGAAUGAAAUGGUCCUCCAUGAGAGCCACAAGCGGGCAUUCAACAACUUGAAAACUGGAUUGAAAAUGAGAGACAGAGCAGCCACUCCAGAAGCUUCCAAAAUCACGCUGCACCUUCUUGAACUGCUGCGAUCCAUGUGGUGACGUAGCUCCCAUGUUGCAAUUUGGACGACCAGAGCAGCACACAGUCCGACCGAAGAGGACUAGCCAACAUAACUUCCCAAGUCCUGUACUCAGACCUGAGCAAUGAAGACAAGUGUGCUAAACGCCUUCUUAACCACCCUGUCUACCUGUGAUGCAAAUUUCAAAGAAUGAUGUACCUGAAACCCGAGGUUUUUUUCUGUUCUGCAACACUACCGAGAGCCCAACCAUUAAUUGUGACAUGGACUUUGCUGGCUUGGCCAGAAUUUAUUGCCCAUCUGUGAUUGCACAGAGGGCUAUCAAGUGUCAGCUGCAUUGCUGUACGGCUGGAGGCACUCACAGACCAAACCAGAGCCAGGAGCGGGGACAAAAGAUGGCUGUAAAAACGCAGUAAUUAGGACUGCAGAAGGGCCACCCAGUGAUCAACGGAAAAGUGGCAGAAACAGAUUACAAAAUAGAGUGAAGAUGCGGUUAUGGCGCCUAGAAAUUUGAAGAAUAUAAACAAGUUUCUUUUAAUGACAUGGUAAAUUUGUGAAGAGAUUGAAUUCCACAGAUGAGAGUGAAAUUCAAAUUGAUGCUGUCUCACUAAGUAAAGAAAAUUAGUGAUGCAGAGUGUUUAGAGAAGAGGCAGUAAAGAUUUAUCCAUGAGUUAAAUACUGAUUCAAAAC